rnacentral:rRNA from 1 species
UACGUAGGGGGCUAGCGUUGUCCGGAAUCAUUGGGCGUAAAGCGCGUGUAGGCGGCCCGGUAAGUCCGCUGUGAAAGUCGGGGGCUCAACCCUCGGAAGCCGGUGGAUACUGUCGGGCUCGAGUACGGAAGAGGCGAGUGGAAUUCCUGGUGUAGCGGUGAAAUGCGCAGAUAUCAGGAAGAACACCAGUGGCGAAGGCGGCUCUCUGGGACGGUACUGACGCUGAGACGCGAAAGCGUGGGGAGCGAACAGG